rnacentral:rRNA from 1 species
UGGGGAAUUUUUCGCAAUGGGCGAAAGCCUGACGGAGCAAUGCCGCGUGGAGGUGGAAGGCCUACGGGUCGUCAACUUCUUUUCUCGGAGAAGAAACAAUGACGGUAUCUGAGGAAUAAGCAUCGGCUAACUCUGUGCCAG